GGUUAUUUUUUUAUCAUUUCCAUUUCUAUGCUGACAUUUCCUACCUGUUUACUGUGUUUAUCUUUUCUGUUAAGUCUUUAAACACAUUUAUAAUGGCUACUUUUAUGUCCUUGUCUGCCAGUUCUAACACUUAGGUCAUCUUUGUGUCUAUAAAUAAAGCUUUAUAGGAACACAACAAUGCUCAUUAUUUGCAUAUUGUCUGUGGCUGUUUUCAUGCUACACUGACAGUAUUGAAAGGUUGGGAAAGAGAUCAUAUGACUUAUAAGCCUGAAAUAUUUACUGUCCAGGCUUGUAAAAAGUUUUGCUAACCUCUGCUCUAAAAAAUGCCCCACACUUGAGGGCGUGACACUUCCUGCUAUCACAUGGCCUUCCUGUCGCCUCAGGAGGUGCUCAAAGAGCCUGGCAAGGGCUAGAACUCCAAAGCCUUCCAGCACUGAGCUAUUUUCUGGUGCCUUCAUUCAGCACACAGCCCAGCAGCAGCCUCUCUCUGUGGAGCCUUGUGGAGUUUUGCCCUGAUAUGUACAUCCCUGUCCCCAGCCUAGGAUCUGCUGGGAACUCCCAUGCAGACUUCUAGGAACUCAUCUUUGUGGUUCUCUGCCCUCUGGUAUUAUUCCCUACACAUUUCAGACCUUUAGCAGCCCUGAACUUCAGUCUCUGCCUCUUCUGCUCAGACGACUGCUAUGCUCUGCUUGGGCUCCACUUCUUGGCCCCUAUCAUUUGGAAGGAUUUUCUGGGGAAAGAACCAGGGUGAAUGUGUCACUCAUUUUGUGGGCUUCCCUUGUCUUAAAGUUCUGAGUCCUGUGCUGCCUCAUGUUCAAUGUCUGAAAAUAAUUGCCUUAUUUAUUUGUCAUUUAUAGUUGUUUAUGUCAGGAGGACAAGUUUAAUACUGGUUGCUGUGAAGGUGGCAAAAGGCAGAAGUUUCUCUUUAUUCCUUUUUUAUUCCUAAAUUUUAUUAUAUACAAUUAUGACUUAGAUAGCUAAGAAACCCUGAAUUAUAGUAAGGAAAAACAAAUUUAUACAUAAAUGGUGUAAAGAUUUUUUCUUUACUGCUAAUUGGGCUAUCCCUCUGUCCUUGUUCUUUGUUAUUGGAGACAUCUUCCAUUCACACACUUUUGUUUUGGGGAAAAAAAAGAUUUUAUGACUACCAUGCUCUUCUACAGUUACAGAAGAUGUUCACACCCAUUGCAACAUUAUGUAUUUAUUUUACCCUUUUAAAACUAUUAUUACUAGAAAAUAACUCAAAGCUAACAGCACUAUUUUCCUAUUCUAAAAAACAUUUUCAGAUUAGAAAAAAGGAUCUCAAAACUGCCUAUAGAUAUAAUAUAUAUUUAGUUUCUAUUUUAUUGCUAUAUCUUCUUGUCAGAAUAUGUUAGAUGGGGUGUUUCUUCUAAUGGUCCCUAAAUUUAAACUUCCAGAAGUUGGAGGCAGGCUAUGCUUAUAGAAAGCAAAAUGCAUUCUAUCAGCAGGCUAUGCUUAUAGAAGGCAGUAUAUUAUGCUGAUUGGUCAAAUUCCCAACUUAUAUGGCUAAAUUUCUGUGGCACAAAGAAGCUCUAAAUUAGCAGAUUAAUUUGAGCUGUUUUCUCAAAAUUUUAGUUAUUUUGCAUUUUAUCUCAAUUUUAGAACUUAUGUUAUUGCACCAGGAUAUCUUGGUUUUAAAUUACUACUUGAUUUUAAAUUACUAAGCACCUCUUGGAUGUCAAAUUGAUAAGUAUCAAUUUGAAUUUUUGCAAUUAGUGCCUAUAGGCACAGUGAUAAAUGACUGUCCAGAAGAGGUAACUGAAAUUCUGAGAUGUGUAUAAAUCAUGUCAUAAGGGGAACUGUAGAAAGAAUUAAGGCUGGUGAUGGAGGUGUUAGGUGUGAAUUUCUCAGUGUACUUAAGGGCUGUUUUAAGUGCAGAAAAGACUAUUCAGAGGUUGGUUAAGCUUUAAGAGUUAAUAAUAAAUUUAUUAUAGUUACAGAUUCAAAAUCGUAGUUUUUCCUUAAACUUUAAAGUUCAGUUUACAAAUCUUAUUUUGUUUGUAAACCAAAGUUUUGCAAUCACUUGUAAGGGUCUUUGACUAAUAUUUGGUUCUAUUUAUGGAUUUGUUAAUUAAACAUCUUCAGAUAUUUUACACUGCAUUUAAAUAUUUAAUAUAUUUCAGUUCUUUAUCUCUAAAAUGUUGUUUGACUAAUAAACCUUCCCAAGUGUUUGAGUAAUUGUUAUAAAUCUGACAUGUUAGACCUAAAUGCAACAAACUUAAAUGUUACAGAAAAACCUGAACAAACUUUUUGGCCAGCCCAAUACUUGCACCUUUGUGAUUUCCAGACUCUGAUUUCCAGAGCCAAUGGGUCCCUGAACCCUCAAACAUCUAAUAUUCUCUGCAGGGAAGUCUACCAUCCCUCUUUCCUUGAAUCUUAAGGUUUAUAAAAGUGUCUUUUACAUACAACUCUGUAACACUUCAAAUUUUAUGGAAUCUCACAGAGCUCUUAUGCGUAUUAAAAUGAUAUCAAAUUGAAUUUUAGAACUCUCUCCUGGCUUAACAGGCUAAUUGGUCACAGCUUCCAGGCUCACAGUCCUGAGAAACCUGUCGGGGACCCAUGUGUUAUGCUGCCCCAGAGGACUUGCAUGAGCCCUUGUAACCACAGAUGUAACAACUAUGAAAUUUUACUUGUUUAUUAGAACCAGAUGUCCAUAGGUGCUUCAUUUUGCCUGUGUAACAGGUGAUUUUCAAGAGAUCUGGCCAUUCAGUUAUGAGCUGUCUUGGUUUUUAGCCAUGGGUUAUUCAAUAAUGCUCUUUCUCCCCUCCUCCCUCUACCACCAUCCAGCCUCCUGCUUCUCCUUUUCUCCAUAAAACACAAUAAAUGAGUGCCUAUUUUCAACGGGGCAUGGUUCUGGAAAUAAAAAGGUAGAUGAGAUAGAGGUUAAAUAAAAGAGUACUAAAAAUGCUUUAACACAAAAAAAUUGAGAUAAAACUUUCAUAUAGUAAAAUGUACAAAUAUUAAGUAUAAGCUCAACAAAUUACCAAUUACUUAGGAGUUUUCAUAAGUGGGCCUUCAAACUGACAAUUCAAGCCAAAGUCCAUUCAUUUUAUCUGGGAUAGUGUGCUCACUGGUAAAAUUUCCUUAAUGAGCACACUAUCCCAGAUAAAAUGAAUGGACUUUGGCUUGAAUUGUCGCACUGAAGGCUGUUACUCAGAAAUUUGUGCAUUGUUAGUUUGGAGCAGGGUCAGUGUACUAUGGCCUGUGGGACUAUUUCUGUGUGUCCUGGGAGCUAAGAAUGGUUUUUAUAUUUUUAAAGGAUGUAAGACAAAAUAGAAGAAGGAGGAGAAGAAGAAGAAACAGAGACUAUAUGUGGACUGCAAAAUUUAAAAUAUUUACUCUCUGACCUUGUACAGAAAAGAGGUUAUAGAGGAAAGAAAGCUGUGGAGCCAUAGAGGAAAGAAAGCUAACUGGAAUCCAAGGGUAAUGGUUGCUCUUCUUCGCUCUCUAGCCCAGGAAGAUGUGUCAACAGCCUUCCUUCUGACUGGCACUACAUGUUGCUCAAUCAGAAAAGGGUUUACCUUUUUUACUGACUUAUGUCAGCCCCACCUAGUGAAUUUAAGUACAAGGAAGAGUUUGCUGAAAUGCUGUGCCAGAAACACUAAGUCAGGACACACACAGGUCGUUGACCUCAAUCCGGAAAUGAACUCGACUUUUCAGAAAUAUAGGAAGAGUUAUGGCUAUGCUGAACUAUUCUAAAGGUUGUGGAUGUGUUUCGAAGACUUUGCCACAGAUUCUUCAUCAACUGUUGGCUAACGGAUCCCCUGGGACCUUUGCAGCAGAGCAGACAACUGUAAGUCUAUGAAGUGAAGUGAUUAACCCAACUUGGGCAGCUAAGUGGCAGAACUGGGCAAUGGAUCAAAAGCCAGUCACUCAUCAUACAUCCUAGAAUAUAAAUACCUACCCCUGCGAAGAUUGGGGUCUAUCUAGGGACUUUGGAUACAAGGAUUCUGACCUCAGAAUCCUUUGAAAUGUUAGUAUAAUGUACUUAGACAAUUUUACCUGAGCAUCUUUUUUGUGUGUGUCAGGCACUGUGCUAGCUGCUGAGUUUAUGACAGCCAAUGAAGUAUGCACAGUCACGGCCCUCACUGAGCCUCCAACAGCAGGUGUUAGAGGGGCAUUAAACAAACAAAUAAGAUAAUAUGUAUGUAAUUACAAAUGGUGCAAAUGUCUAUCAAGGAAAGGACUGGGAUGGUAUGAAAGGGAGAUUGAUAAGGGGUUUUACUUUAGAUUAAGGGACCAGGGAGGGCCUCUUAGAGGAGGGGACAUUUAAGUUGAAACCUGAAGGGUGAGCUGGAACCAGCUAGAGUAGUGGGUACAGUUGGGUACAGUUGCCCCCAGGGGACAUUUGGCCGUGUCUAGAGAUAGUUUGGUUGUCACAGCUGGGCAAGGUGUAGGAGGGGGGUUGGUGGCGUUGCUGGCAUCUAGUGGGUAGAGGCCAGAGAUGCUGCUAAACUUCCUACAGUGCAAAAGACAACCUCUCACAGCAAAGAAUUUUCAGGUCCCCAAUUUUCAGGCAGUAGUACUGAGAUUGAGAACCAGCAUUUGGGAGAAUCAGCAUGUGGGAAGGCUCCCAGCCCCAGGUGGGCUAGUGCUUAAUGCAGCCCAGAAAUAGGAAGAACAGCAGCAUGGCUAGAGGUCAGUCAUUGGCCGGGGUGGGGUAGGGGGGGACUAGGAAAGAUGGAGCCAUGCAUCAAAGACCAUAGGGUUGGUCAUUAUAAGGACUUAGAUCUUAUUGCAAAUUCUCCGUGAGUUUGCUCAUUCACCCGUUUCAAAAGUAGUGAUACAAUAAAGUUCCCAUUGUCCAGGAAUUUCCAGACAGACUAACUCCAAACAAGAAGGAACUGUUGGGGUUGGGGGAGGAGAGAAACAGGUGAGGCAGAUUAAGAGGUACCACCUUUCAGUAACAAAAUAGCUGAGUCACAGGUAUGAAAUGUACAGUGUGGGGAAUAUAGUCAAUCAUUAUGUAAUAUCUUUGUAUGGUAAGUAGCCUUACUGUGGUGAUUGUUUUGAAAUAUAUAGAAAUAUCGAAUCACUGUGUUGUGUAACAGGAACUAGCAUAGUGUCAUAGGUCGAUUAUACUUCAAAAACAAGCAAACAAACUCAUAGAAAAAGAGAUCAGAUAUGUGGUUACCAAAGGUGGGGGUAGGGAAAGGGGGAAUUGAAGGAAGGCAGUCAAAAGGCACAAAAUCCCAGUUACAGGAUAAAUAAGUACUAGGGAUGUAAUGUGCAACAUGAUAAAUAUAAUUAACACUGCUGUAUCUUGUAUAUGAAAGUUGUUAAGAGAGUAAAGUUUUUCUAUUUCUUUUUGUAUCUAUAUGAGAUGAUGGAUGUUCACUAAACUUAUUGUGCUAAUCA